AGUGAACGCUGGCGGCGUGCCUAAUACAUGCAAGUCGAACGGAGUGGCGCACGGGUGAGUAAUAUAUAGCUAAUCUGCCCCUUGCUGGCGGACAACAGUUAGAAAUGACUGCUAAUACUCCAUAGCAAGGGAUGUGACGAUAUCGUAUCAGCUAGUCGGUGGGGUAACGGCCUACCGCGGCUAUGCCGCGUAACUGGUCUGAGGGGAUGGUCAGUCACAUGGGAACGGAGACACCGUUCAAACUCCUACGGGAGGCAGCAGGAGGGAAUAUUGCGCAAUGGGGGAGUCCGUUACGGAGCAACGCUGCGUGGAGUAUGACACUUUUCGGAGCGUAAACUCCUUUUGUUAGGGAAGCGGUACCUACCGAAUAAGCACCGGCUAACUCCGUGCCAGCAGCCGCGGUAAUAC
rnacentral:rRNA from 1 species